rnacentral:rRNA from 1 species
UACGUAGGGGGCAAGCGUUGUCCGGAAUCAUUGGGCGUAAAGCGCGCGUAGGCGGCCCGGUAAGUCCGUUGUGAAAGUCAAAGGCUCAACCUUUGAACGCCGAUGGAUACUGCCGGGCUAGAGUCCGGAAGAGGCGAGUGGAAUUCCUGGUGUAGCGGUGGAAUGCGCGGAUAUCAGGAGGAAUACCGAUGGCGAAGGCAGGUCUCUGGGCUGACACUGACGCUCAUGCACGAAAGCGUGGGGAGCAAACAGG